CUCCUUCAGUGAAGCGUUUGGGUAUGCAAAUGCCGUGCUCCUCUCUCCCGCCGUUCGCGGGCUACCGAGCGUCCUGAGAGCUCACUUGGUGUUACAGACAUAACCGUGGUGGCUUCUCAACCAGCUCGCUGUGACGGCAUCAAACACCAGGACUCAAACCCGGGACCUUUGGAUCCAGUCACUCUUCUGGCACUGGGAGUACCGCCUCCAGAAUAGACUACCAACUGUGGAGUCCAGUGUGAAUUCCUCAAAGCCUUCAUCUUCCUCCUCCUCCUCACCGUCCACGGCCAGGUCCUCCAGCAGAUGGUCAGUCUCCUCUGUGUCGGGGUCCACACUCUGCAAAGGCUGCCCUGUCUGAUGUAGCAGAUAGUCCA
ensembl:lncRNA